GGAGUGCAAUGGCGCGAUCUUGGCUCACCGCAACAUCCACCUCCCGGGUUCAAGCGAUUCUCCUGCCUCAGCCUUCCUGAGUAGUUGGGAUUACAGUCAUGCGUCACCAUUUGCUCUAUCACCAGGCUGGAGAGUGCAGUGGUGCAAUCUUGGCUUACUGCAACCUCCGCCUCCUGGGUUCAAGGGAUUCCUCUGCCUCAGCCUCCUGAGUAGCUGGGACUACAGGCAUGUGCCAUCACGCCUGGCUAGUUUUUUGUAUUUUUUAGUAGAGAAGGGGUUUCACCAUGUUGGCAAGGCUGGUCUCGAACUCCUGAACUUAGGUGAUCCGCCUGCCUUGGCCACCCAAAGUGCUGGGACUACAGGCGUGAGGUGUCGCGCCCAGCCUCUCUGGACAUUGCAAUUUAUAAAGGAUAUAACAGAUUUAGUUCAGUAUAAUUAUUUAAAAAUAGGCAAUAAUAAAAUACUUUGAACAGAAAUUUUUUUCUGAUCAACCAGUCAUUUUUUUCCCCAACUGAAUCAAAGACAUUGUCCAAAUAAAACAAAUUUUAAAACUAAGUGAUACACAAACAUUUAACACAUACACUACUAUUUUUAUGACUAAGUAGAAAUGCUCAGGAAAUAUAAUUUUAAUCAUAAGUGGAAUUAAUUAAAAUAUGAAAUUACAUAGAUAACUUAGUUAAAAUGAAGAAUGUUGUAGGGGUCAAACAACAUUUUUGUUUACUUAAAUAAUCUGUUUAAUGAUUACAGUGACCAUAAAAUAAGUUAUACCUAAAGAAGUCUUUAAGUCAUGAUAAUAAAAUAAAAGGAAAACUUUAGAGAAAGGUAUAGGAAGAAUGAAUGCAUCUUUUUUGUUCCUUUGAAAAAAUAGCAUAAAAUUUUGAGAAAUGUAUCAAAACAGCAGACUUAGUGUAAAGUCAUGUAUUUAUAGAACAGAAAUAUAUAGACAAUGUAAAGUUUCUACCUAUUCCCUUAGUAUAUAUUUAAAAUGAUCAUUUAGACUCAUAUCGUAUUUUAAUCUACAACAGGUUUUUAAAAAAACUGGUAUUUCUGUAUGUUUGACAUGGCUUUGUAAAAAUAUUUCUUUCUUGCAAUUUGUCUGAAUGACUUGCUCUUAAGUAUCUUUAAAAACAUCAUAAAUGUAAACAGUAUUAACUCACAUGAAAUAACUUCUAUUUCGAUCCAGAAGGCAAAAGUUUUAAGUUUUCAAAAUACGGCAUUGUCACCUCAAAAGUAAGUAUGUUUCAAAGAAAAACCAUAUUUUUAUUCCCUACUAAAGUUGAACAACUUACGUUCACUUUUACAAUGAAAAUACCCAGCGGCAUCUUAGAGAUUACUGGUUUUCCAGCAAGAAACAUAGCUAUUUAGCAAAUUCACUUGCCUAAAAAACAGCCAAAAAAGGAAAAGAAAU
rnacentral:lncRNA from 1 species